GGGUCAGUAGGUUGGUCGUGCCACCGGUACGUACUGGUCUCACUGAUUCCUCCUUCCUGAAGAACCGUAAUGCCAUUAAUUUGGUGUUGCGGGGAAACAGGACUGUUACUUUGAAAAAAUUAGAGUGUUUAAAGCAAGCUAACGCUUGAAUACAUUAGCAUGGAAUAAUAAAAUAGGACGAUCGAUCCAAUUUUGUUGGUUUCUAGGAUUGACGUA
rnacentral:rRNA from 1 species